AGUACCCCUAUCUGAAAUGCUUGAGACCAGAAGUGUUUUGGAGUUCAGAUUUUCUUUUGGAUUUUGGAAUAUUUGCAGAAUACCUACUGAUUGAGCAUAUCUAACCUGGAAAUCCAAAGUGCUCCGGUGAACAUUUUCUUUGAGCAUCAUGUCAAUCAAUGCUCAAAAAGUUCAGGAUUUUGGAGCUUCUUGGAUUAUGGGUGCUCAACCUGUAUAGGAAACGUGGAGAUGGAGCAUGAAUCAGUUGUAUUUGAUACUUGCUGGGGAAAGGAUUUCCAGACCACCAGAGAAGAAGGAUCACCCAUUUAACUUGGUGUAUCCAGUGCCAUAUCAGAGCCUUUUCUUCCAUUUUAACCUCACCAGUAGUCUUUAGAUUUGUGGUUUAUGAUCAAGAAAUUAAAUCCUAGAAUACAGAUUAGUAGAGCAAAGUUGAGGCUUUUGAUUAUCUAUUUCUUUUAAGGUUUUUCGCUUUAACACUUUACAGAAGAAUUUCUAGACUGUCUGAGAAGAAUACUCCAGGUAUUUGUCCCAGUCUUAAAAUGGUUCAACAAAAAGUUCAUAAUCACUUUUUAGAACCCUUUUCCCAAAGAACUGUGAUCCUACGUGUAACUUAAAAAAAGAAAACACACAAAUGCUUGCAUCUUUUUUCACAUAUUUAUCUGUAUUCAGCAAUCAAGAAUAGCUGGUACUGAUGGAUAUCUUUACAUGAUUUUUCGUUAUUUAUCUGAAAAUAAUAUAUAUUGGGUCAUUAUUUGGCUUUUCAACCUCAGUAAUUCAGUAACUUUCUUUCAGUUAAUUUUGUUGACCUGUUUUGGACACUUUUCAAAAUAUUCUUAGCAUGAUUUUACUGGGAAGAACACAUUAUUACAAGAGUUAGGCAGUCUGAGUUCCACCUCCAUUUGUGUCCAUCCUCUCUCGUUUGUUUAUUGAAUGCCUUCACCUGUGCUCUGAAUUGCAUCUCUUUCCUUCUCAGGAAAUUUUAUACAUUGUCAAUUAUUCCUUCUCUCUAACUUCAACCUCGCCUUCUUUGCUGAGUCUGACCCAUCAACAGUUAAACAUGAUCAAGUCUUCCGAUUUAAAAGUCCCUCUUUCUUGACACAGCUCAUUUAUAGCCAAACUUCUUUCUGAAGAGUAGUCUACAUUCAUUUUCUUUUUCUCCCUCACUUCUGAUAAUAUUGAACCAACUCCAUUUUAGUUUCUGUCCCUAUCAUUCCUCUAAAUUGAUUAAGGUCUCCAGAAUAUUCCUCUGUAUUUACGGGCAUUAUUCACUGCUCUUCUUAUUUGACUACUCAGCAAGCAUUUAACUUUUGAUCAGUUUUUCCUUAAAAUACUUUACUUGGCUUCCUUGACAUCAUGGUUUUUGUUCAGAUCUCUGUGGUUAUUUCUGUCUCCUUUGCUGCCUUCUCCUCUUGGUCCUUGAAUUUUAGAAUUCUUCAAAUUUCAGUUCUAGACAAUCUUCUGUUCUUACUCUUAGCUUUCCCUAUGUGGUCUCAUCAUUUCUCAUGUGGACAUAGUAGUCUCCCCACUUUUAUUUUUGCCACCUUACAAUUUUAUCCACAGAGCAGCUAGAGUAGUCUAUAAAUUCUUUUUAAAAUACGUAAAAUCACUCACUGCUUAGACACUACAUAAUCUAGUCCUUGGCUGCUUCUCUGACCCUGUCUUAUACCAGUCUGCAUUUACUACAGUCCAUCUAUACUGGCCUCUUUGAACUGUUCUUCAGAUAUGAUAAGCUUGUCCUUGCUAAAAGCUCUAACUGUUAUUUCUGCUUGGAAUGCUCUUCUCGUCUACUCUUCCUAUGCCUAGCAUUUUCUUAAUGUUUAGGUCUCACCUGAGAUGUCACUUUCACUGUAGUACUAGUAGUUGAUGUUACUACUGAUUCGUUGGCAGUAUUCCUGAAAUAGAAUAUAGGAUAAAUGAGGACAUGUUUAUUUUGUUCACAGCUGUGUCCACAAAAUCUAAACAGUGCCUGUAGUACUGUAGGAGCUCAUUAAGUAGUCGGCUGAUUGAUUUUUGUACCUAAUGGUUCUAUUAACAAUAUUGACCCCCAAAUGUAUUUUCUUCAUAACCUUCUCCUCUGAACUCCAGUCUGUAUAUUUAACUGUCUACCUGACAUUUCCACUUCUAAGCUUAAAAGCUCCUCCAAUUGAACCUGUGAUCUCUUUAAAUCUGGGACUCCAGGAUUUCCUGCCACAGUGAAUGGAUUUACCUUUUAUCUAUCUCUGUAAGCUAGAAAGUUGAGAGUCUUCUUCAAUGCCUUCUUUCCCCCUCAUAUUCAAUCCAUCAAAUGGAUUCUAUGGACUUUGCCACCUGAAUAUCUCUUGAAUCUGUUCCUACAUUUUAAACUACCAUCAUUUGAUGGAUUUUCACACAGUGAGUGUAUCUAUAUAAUUAAUACCCAGGUCAGGAAAUACGAUAUUACUAGCACCUUAGAAGCUCCUUGUGCCCUCUCUCUGUCAGAGUGAUCUUUUUAAAGGGAAAAUGUGAUCAUGCUUAAUGCCUUUCAGUUGCUUCCCAUUGCUCUUAGAAUAAAGACCAGAAAUCAUAAUGUGAUAUUUAAGAUCCUGGAUGAUGUUACUGUUUUUCCUAUGCAACUUCAUGUUUUUUAAAUUAUUUUUCUCACUUUCUGUAUUCCAGCCCUGAUAACCACCUCUCAAUUCCUUGAAUGUGGUAUGCUGUUCCCUCUUGCUAAAAAAUUCUAUGUACACAUACCCCUUCCGUUCUUGUCCUUCAGAUUUGAGCUCUUCAAAGUUUUCUUGGACAUAGCAAGCUUGAUGAGGUCCCAAAUACAUCUUAUGUGCUCUCAUAUGCUUUAUUCAUUUGUAUAUUAUUAUUUCCCUUAUUUUUAAGCUAAUGAGUCAGGUAUUACACCUGUUUUGCUCACUGUUGCUUGGUCAUCAGCUAGCAUGGUGGCUGGGAAAGAUUAGUAUUCAAUAUUCAUACAAUAAGUGAAUAUGAGUAGUUUGGGUUUGUUAUGGGAUGAAUUAUCCAUCCCCACCCCCCACUCCCACACACAGACACCCAACUGAUACACUGAAGAUUGAAAUUCUAACUGUAGAACCUAGAAUGUAACUGUAUUUGGAGAUGGGGCCUUUAAAAAGGUAAUGAAGAUAAAAUGAAGUCAUAUGGGUGGACUCCAAUUCCAUAUGAGUGGUUUCCAUUAAGAAGAGAUUAGGACACAGACACACAGAAAGGUAAGACCAUGUGAAGACACUGGAGGAAGAUGGCCAUCUACAAGCCAAAGAGAUCUACAGGCUUUAGAAGAAACCAACACUGCUGACACCUUGAUCUUGGACUUCUAGAAGUGUGAGAAAAUAAAUUUCUGUUCUUUAAACUACCCAAUCUGUGAUACUUUGCUAUGGAAGCCCUAGUAAACUUAUAUGGAUUUUGGUAUUGGGAAAGUGGGGUGCUGGUGUAAUUAAUACCUAAAAAUGUGGAAUUGGCUUUAGAACUAGAUAAUGGGUAGAGGCCAGAAGAAGUAUUUGUUAGAAAAAGCAUAGACUGCCUUGAAGAGAUUGUUGGUAGACAUAUGGAUGUUGAAGGUGAUUCUGGUGAAGCUUAGAAAAUAGGAGAGCUGUUGAGAAAGCUUCUGUCAUCUUAGAGGUAUACAUAUGUCACCUUGAAUAAAUAUUGGUAGAAAUAUGAAUGUUAAAGGUGUUUCUGGUAGGAACUCAAACAAAUGAGGAAUAUAUUGUUGGAAACUGAGGGAAAGGCAAUGCUUAUUAUAAUGUGGCAAAUAGCCAAAUUGUGUUUUGUGGAAAGUGGAUGAACUUACAAAGUGAUGAACUUGAAUGUUUAGCUGAGAUUUCUAAGCAAUGCAUUAAAGAUAUGGCCUGGUUUCUUCUUGCUGCUUAAAGUAAGAUGCAAGAGGAGAGAGAGAAAUUUAAGAAGGAAUUAUUAAGCCAAAAGCAACCAGAGCCUGAAGAUUCGGAAAAUUCUCAGUCUAUCCAUAUUGCAAAAAUUUAGCAUGUUCUGGAGGGAACAUCAAAGUUGUUGCAAGACAACCAUUUCCUAAAGCAAUUAGGGAUAUGUGACUUGUGGAUCCAAUCAGCCAUCUUGGCAGCAACUAGCAGAAGCCAGGAUAGAGAUGGGGUUAUACCUAUGGAAAUGCUGCUGGCUGGUACCGAAGGGAACAGAGGGAUAAAAAUGAAGGAAGUCUGUUGGAUUUCUUGAGAUUCUAUAAAAUGGGUCAGUAGAGCUAUCUGGCUGUGAACAUGUGUUCUUCAAGAAGAGGGAAGAAUGACCCUGAAGAUGAUUGAGAAGGCAAAGGGGCUACUAUUGCUACCACAGGACCAGAGGGCUCAGGCCUGAGGAGUCAAGGUAGGCUACUUCUUAGGGCUGAGGGAGGUGGGCUACCACACUGGUGGGCUCAGAAGACAGGGCUGCCACCCCUGUUAGGUGGGAAGAUGGAGAAUGAAGCUGAAGAAGAUUAUUCUUGAGCCUUAAAAUCUAAUGGGAUUUGCCUUUAUACGUUUCAGACCUGCUUAGGAUCCAUCACCCCUUCUUUCUGAUUUUUUUGGAAUAGGAAUGUUUAUCCUAUGCCUGUCUCACCAGUGGUGUAUUUUGGAAGCAAAUAACUUGUCUAGUUUCACAGGUUCAUGCUGGAGAAGAAUUUUGCCUCAGGGUGAAACCUUGAGUAUGCCUGUACCUGAUCUAAAUGAUAUUUAGAUGAGAUUUGGGGCUUAGAGUUGAUACUGAAAUGGGUCAAGACUUUGGGGCUGUUGGGAUGGAGUGGAUGUGUUUUGUGUCUGAGAAGGACAUGAAUUUUGAGGGGCCAGAUGGCAGAAUUUUAGAGGUUGAAUUGUAUGCUCUCCAAAUGUAUAUAAGUUAAAGUCCUAACUCCUAGUACCUAGAAUGUGACCAUAUUUGGAGAUGGGGCCUUUAAAAAGGUAAU
rnacentral:lncRNA from 1 species